rnacentral:rRNA from 1 species
GACGAACGCUGGCGGCGUGCCUAAUACAUGCAAGUAGAACGCUGUAGAGAGGAGCUUGCUCUUCUUGGAUGAGUUGCGAACGGGUGAGUAACGCGUAGGUAACCUGCCUUGUAGCGGGGGAUAACUAUUGGAAACGAUAGCUAAUACCGCAUAACAAUGGAUGACCCAUGUCAUUUAUUUGAAAGGGGCAAAUGCUCCACUACAAGAUGGACCUGCGUUGUAUUAGCUAGUAGGUGAGGUAACGGCUCACCUAGGCGACGAUACAUAGCCGACCUGAGAGGGUGAUCGGCCACACUGGGACUGAGACACGGCCCAGACUCCUACGGGAGGCAGCAGUAGGGAAUCUUCGGCAAUGGGGGCAACCCUGACCGAGCAACGCCGCGUGAGUGAAGAAGGUUGUCGGAUCGUAAAGCUCUGUUGUAAGUCAAGAACGAGUGUGAGAGUGGAAAGUUCACACUGUGACGGUAGCUUACCAGAAAGGGACGGCUAACUACGUG